rnacentral:lncRNA from 1 species
CUUUCUGGGAGCAGGAAUAGGGGGAGAAGAAGCUAAAACAGGAGGUGAACCAGCAGGAUUGAAAGGAGAAGGGAAGACUGAAGCACUGGGGACAGUAACAGGGACAGGAAAAGGCAUCUGCACAGAUGAGGGAGAAGAGGGAGGAGAGAGGAGAAUGGGAGAAUUAGAGGCAUCAUCAUGUUCUCCAGAUGGAAAAAAGGGAUAAGGAGAAGCAGGAGGAUGAGUAGAAGGAGGCAUAGAUUUAAAAGGAAAACAUGAUUCAUGAAAGAGAACAUCCCUGGAGACCAAAUACUUCUUAGAUGCAAGAUCAUAUAGUCUAUAACCCUUUUUGCCAAAAGGAUAACCCAGGAAAACACAAGGGAUAGCUCUAGGCUUUAACUUGUCCCUUUGAGGCAUGGGAACAGUGGCACAGGCAAGGCAACCAAAAAUCCUCAAGUGAGUAUAGGUUGGAAUCCAAAAGGAUAACCAAUGAAAACACAAGGGAUGGCUCUGGGAUUUAACUUGUCCCUUUGAGGGAUGGGAACAGUGGCAUAGGCAAGGGAACCAAAGGUCCUCAAGUGAGUAUAGGUUGGAAUUUUCCCAUACAAAAUUUCAUGAGGAGACUUAUUAUGAAGCAAUCUGGUGGGUAUUCUGUUAAGUAGAUAGG